GAUGAACGCCAGCGGCAGGCCUAACACAUGCAAGUCGAGGGGCAGCACGUCUUCGGAUGGUGGCGACCGGCGCACGGGUGCGUAACGCGUAUGCAACCUACCUCUUACAGUGGGAUAGCCCAGAGAAAUUUGGAUUAAUACCGCAUAGUAUACAGAUUCAGCAUUGGGACUGUAUUAAACAUUUAUGGGUAAGAGAUGGGCAUGCGUUCUAUUAGUUAGUUGGAGUGGUAACGGCACCCCAAGACAGCGAUAGAUAGGGGCCCUGAGAGGGGGAUCCCCCACACUGGUACUGAGACACGGACCAGACUCCUACGGGAGGCAGCAGUGAGGAAUAUUGGACAAUGGGCGAGAGCCUGA
rnacentral:rRNA from 1 species